GGAUGUGAGGGUGAUCUGGCUGCAACCUCUGUUGCCCUGUUGAUCUCCAGGGUUGACUUGGCUGAUCUGGCUGGCGAGGCAGGUGUCCCCUUCCUCCCUCACUGCUCCAUGUGUGCUCCCCCCACAAAAGCUGCAAGUUCAGUCAAAGAGGGUGUCCACCCCUGAUACAGGAGGACCGUUCCUUGGUCGAGGGUAUAGGAGCAGCUGCGCUCCCCUGCUAGAACCUUCCAACAAGCUCGCAGCCAAAGAGACAGCUCAGGGGUGGAGGACAGGUCAGGGCUCA
rnacentral:snRNA from 1 species